UACGUAGGGCGCAAGCGUUAUCCGGAAUUAUUGGGCGUAAAGAGCUCGUAGGCGGUUUGUCGCGUCUGCCGUGAAAGUCCGGGGCUCAACUCCGGAUCUGCGGUGGGUACGGGCAGACUAGAGUGAUGUAGGGGAGACUGGAAUUCCUGGUGUAGCGGUGAAAUGCGCAGAUAUCAGGAGGAACACCAAUGGCGAAGGCGGUCAACUGGCCCGUAACUGACGCUGAGGCACGAAAGCGUGGGGAGCGAACAGG
rnacentral:rRNA from 1 species